AUGAGGUGGAAAGGACUUGUAAAUAGUUUUGUCCAAUUCAAUGAGUGUGAGAGGGAGCGGCCCUCACCGGAGCCUGUGGGAAAGGCGUCUGUGCCUGCAGGAAGGGAAGGUGCUCCCACACUACGGAUUCCCGGCUGCAUUCCUGGGACCUUCACAUUUAGUGGAAGUCUUUGUGCGAGCGGACCUUGCGUCAUGGGUCUUCCCCUGCCCGCUACAAGUCGGGUCAGUUUUACCCGAGGUUGGCUUCUGGAUGGUCCGUUUCCCCGACUUCUCGGGGUCCUGCUUCUUCUCUUCCCUGGCCUUCGAGCUUGGCCUCUUCUCCUCUCGGGUCCUAGGUCUGAUGUCUUCCUUCGUGCUCCUUCCUCUCCCCUCGCCCAUCGCCUUGCCCCUCGCUUCCUUAGCUCUUGGCCUCGUCUUCCUCGCCUUCACAUUUGCCCUCGCGCUCCGCCUCCACAUUUCCCUGGCCUUCCUGGCCGCCCUGGGCCGCGCGUGGCGCCUCCGUGGGCUCCUGGGAACCUGAGCGGCCCUCCUCGGAGCGCGGACGCCCUCCUCCAGCCUGGGGCGCCCCGGCCUUCUCUUCGGCUUCGGACUCUUCCAGACCCUGAAGUAGCCGGCGGCGUCGCUGCCGCUGACCCGGAGGAACGUGCCCUUAACCUCAGUCCCGGGCGCUUCGCUCGAGGGGCGGCUGCACUUCCUGCGCACUUGGUAGCCCGCGUUCCCGAGCUCCCUCUUGAGGACGGCCAGCGUCAGGCCCUUGUGCGCAGCUAUGGCUCGCAGCAACAGCUGGGACACUUUGAGCACCGAGCUCGGACCCCGCCUCAGCGGCACCGCAAGGACUUUUUCCAUGGGCCGCUGGCUUUGAACUUCAGCGCCUUGGGAUUCGCCCGCGGGCUCUGCCGCCUCAGCCAUGGCCCCGCUCCCGCCUCAGCGGGGCCACUGACUGUGGGCCUCACCACCAACGCAGGAGCUAAGGCUGGGGCUGGCUGGGCCACGUCACAAAGGCGGGCCGCCGAGACUGCCAGAUCCCGGUGA
rnacentral:lncRNA from 1 species